rnacentral:rRNA from 1 species
UACAGAGGUGGCAAGCGUUGUUCGGAAUUACUGGGCGUAAAGGGCGCGUAGGCGGCCUACUAAGUCAGACGUGAAAUCCCCCGGCUUAACCUGGGAACUGCGUCUGAUACUGGAAGGCUUGAGGAUGGGAGAGGGAUGUAGAAUUCCAGGUGUAGCGGUGAAAUGCGUAGAUAUCUGGAGGAACACCGGUGGCGAAGGCGGCAUCCUGGACCAACACUGACACUGAGGAGCGAAAGCCAGGGGAGCAAACGGG